UACAGAGGCCUCGAGCGUUGUUCGGAAUUACUGGGCGUAAAGGGAGUGUAGGUGGUGACGUAAGUCAGAUGUGAAAGCCCUGGGCUUAACCCGGGAAGUGCAUUUGAUACUGCGUUGCUGGAGUGCGAGAGAGGAAAGUGGAAUUUCCAGUGUAGGGGUGAAAUCCGUAGAUAUUGGAAGGAAUACCGAUGGCGUAGGCAGCUUUCUGGCUCGUAACUGACACUGAGACUCGAAAGCGUGGGUAGCAAACAGG
rnacentral:rRNA from 1 species